GAUGAACGCUGGCGGCGUGCCUAAUACAUGCAAGUCGAGCGAACAGAUGAGGAGCUUGCUCCUCUGACGUUAGCGGCGGACGGGUGAGUAACACGUGGAUAACCUACCUAUAAGACUGGGAUAACUUCGGGAAACCGGAGCUAAUGCCGGAUAAUAUAUUGAACUGCAUGGUUCAAUAGUGAAAGACGGUUUUGCUGUCACUUAUAGAUGGAUCCGCGCCGCAUUAGCUAGUUGGUAAGGUAACGGCUUACCAAGGCAACGAUGCGUAGCCGACCUGAGAGGGUGAUCGGCCACACUGGAACUGAGACACGGUCCAGACUCCUACGGUAGGCAGCAGUAGGGAAUCUUCCGCAAUGGGCGAAAGCCUGACGGAGCAACGCCGCGUGAGUGAUGAAGGUCUUCGGAUCGUAAAACUCUGUUAUUAGGGAAGAACAAAUGUGUAAGUAACUAUGCACGUCUUGACGGUACCUAAUCAGAAAGCCACGGCUAACUACGUG
rnacentral:rRNA from 1 species